AAUAGAUACCCCGGUAGUCCACCCCGUAAACGUUGGGAACUAGUUGUGGGGUCCUUUCCACGGAUUCCGUGACGCAGCUAACGCAUUAAGUUCCCCGCCUGGGGAGUACGGCCGCAAGGCUAAAACUCAAAGGAAUUGACGGGGACCCGCACAAGCGGCGGAGCAUGCGGAUUAAUUCGAUGCAACGCGAAGAACCCUACCAAGGCUUGACAUACACCGGAAACGGCCGGAGAUGGUCGCCCCGCAAGGUCGGUGUACAGGUGGUGCAUGGUUGUCGUCAGCUCGUGUCGUGAGAUGUUGGGUUAAGUCCCGCAACGAGCGCAACCCUCGUUCUAUGUUGCCAGCACGUUAUGGUGGGAACUCAUGGGAUACUGCCGGGGUCAACUCGGAGGAAGGUGGGGAUGACGUCAAAUCAUCAUGCCCCUUAUGUCUUGGGCUUCACGCAUGCUACAAUGGCCGGUACAAAGGGCUGCAAUACCGUGAGGUGGAGCGAAUCCCAAAAGCCGGUCCCAGUUCGGAUUGAGGUCUGCAACUCGACCUCA
rnacentral:rRNA from 1 species